UAAAAAAUAAAUAAGAGCCACAGUUCACUUUCCCUUCAACGGAUCUACGUUUUUUUUGGAAUAUGAAAAUAUCGAUAAAAGCUCACCCAUUCACUUCCCCAAAUCCAACUGUUUUUCCUCAACUCAGAAAACCAAAAUUCUAGAAUCAAAAGCAGAUCAAGAAAUCGAAAUUCCACUCUUACACAACUAAUGGUACAUCUUACCACACCGGUUCUGAUUCCUAAAUAUACAGCUCCCCUCGCUUUUUCAAUGGAUACUAUGGAAUUUGAAAGGGAUCUCUCGAGAUUAAUGAUGCAUGCUUUUGGGUAUUUCUGUAUCUUAUGUGGCAAGAGGAAAAAUCAGUGGUUGCAGAUAGGAAUAAGCCUGAACUUCAAAAUCAGGAGCAGCAAGAAGUGAGGUGUGAGAAUGUUUGUUGUGUUGGGUCAGAGUUCUUGUCCUUUAAGAGAGAAACAACUAUUCUUUUUUUUUCCUAGACCAAAAGAUAUAUGUAGGUACUUCAUGUUUGUGCUCUCUUCUUCUUCUUAUUCUUCUCUUCUUCUUCUUCUUUUUUUCCUUAAUGAUGCUGUGGGACAUAUUUUUGCUGAGAUAAAAGUCCUUAUAUGUUCCUUUCAUUCCUGGGAUAUCUAUUGUGCUACCAAUCUGUUAAUGUUGUAGCUAAGAAGUUGACUCAAUUUGCAAUUCGUCAGAGUUAUUGUUGCAGCUCUAGAGCAUUUUCCAUUGUUAUAUUUCAAAUAAAUAUAUUGUUGUAAUGGGCUGACAAAUUUUUUUUCAAUGUAUUGCUGAAGAAGUGAUAGAAGAUUUUGUAUAUUUGAAGGAUGUGUUUAUUCACA